AAUAGCUUGAGGGUUACAUCGCCCGAUGGUUUGAAAGGUACCUACGACAGUGCCAUUGGGAAUUUUGGGAUUCCUCAAUAUGGAGGUAGCAUGUCUGGGACUGUGGUGUUUCCGAAGGAGAAUCAGAAGGGUUGCAGAGAGUUCAGCGACGCUGGAAUUUCGUUCCAGUCGAAACCAGGAGCUCUCCCUACCUUCGUUUUGGUUGAUCGGGGAGAUUGUUUCUUUGCCUUGAAGGUCUGGAAUGCGCAGAAGGCUGGUGCUUCUGCAGUUCUUGUUGCAGACAACAUCGAGGAAAGAUUAAUAACCAUGGACUCCCCUGAAGAGGAUGGUUCUACCGCAAAAUACAUUGAAA
rnacentral:misc_RNA from 1 species